rnacentral:lncRNA from 1 species
AGGCACAGACAGAAAGAUAGAGACCUAUAAAGCCUAUCUGGUUGUCAAAAGAUAUUGUCUAUAUUAUGGUAUUAACUAUGACGAGAUAUUUUCUCCUAUAGCAAUACUAGAUAUCUCGAAGUUGAAAUUUGUAUUUUGAUAUGUGAUCAAAACGUAUGGCUUCAUUGAGAAUGAAGAUGAACCUUACAUAUACUAAUGUGUUAAUAGUUCUAUAAGUGUAUUUCUUAUUUUGUAGAUGGAUGAAAUUCUCUUAAUCGAGAAU